rnacentral:tRNA from 1 species
CAGAGAAUAGUUUAAAUCAGAAUGCUAGCUUUGGGAGCCAGUGGCGGGGGUUAAAAUCCCCCUUUUCUGA